UGACAUCCCUGUUGCCCGGCAACUUCAUAGCUGGAUAGAUGACAGGAGGAGCCGGGCUGGUUCUCAGAGAGGCGGCCAGUGAGAGUAGCCACCUUCCUGGGCCAGUCUGCACCACCGCCUCUAUGACUGCGGUUUGAAAAGCAGCUUGAAUCCGUGGUCAUGGCGGCAUUGGGAGUUGGACAUAACGCUUCAGUGGCCAAACCAAAGGUCUCAGCGGCAAACAUUUGUGCAAACCGAAGGUUCAAUAUGGAGUUUGGUGAAGCAAGCCAUAGGCUGCUUUUGCUGUGGAACUGCAGUUUCGCAUUCGGACAUACUGGGGGGCUGUAUGUUUCCUGUUGCACUUGGAUUAUGAAGUGUAGUCUACCACUAAAUAAUUUGGAUGUGGGUGUUUGCAGAGGUCCUUGGUAUAAAAACCCUCAAGAACUCGACCUGUCACUUCCCAUGGCAGCAGUUGGAAAGGAAUUGAAUCCAAUGAUGCUCCAACUGCCACUCCUAAUGAACAAGCACGAGUGCGGGGCGGGGCGGAGCUAGAGCAUUUUCCAAGCUUGGAGAGCCCUACCGAUGGCGGCUGCUGUGCAUGCACAAUCCCAGUUGUGUGAAUACAGCCAGGCUCACAUCAAGGAUCCUCUAGUUUUGCUACCUGCGUAUGACUUGUAAACAUGGCAUGGGCCUGAAGCAUCUGUCAGGCCACAGGAUUUGGCUGGUGGACUGCAUUUGCUUUGUUGGGUCACAGGUUAUGUAUUUGUAGCACAGGAAAGCAAUGAUCUGACUCUCCUGCUGGCAUUGCAUGAAAAGGAAAUAUACAGAUUAAUAGCAUUUAAAAUUACAAUAAACUUGAGGAGGUCUACUGUA